CCCGCUGAACUUAAGCAUAUCAAUAAGCGGAGGAAAAGAAAAUAACAAUGAUUCCCCUAGUAACGGCGAGUGAAGAGGGAAAAGCUCAAGUUUGGAAGCUUCGUGGCAUAGCUACGACGCGUUGUAAACUGAAGUUUUUUGGGUGAUUGGGCGACCGGAUAAAUAAGUCCUUUGGAAAAGGGCAACAUAGAGGGUGACAUUCCCGUCUUUGGUCCGAGUCAGUGCAGUCGCUACCCAGGAAACGACGAGUCAGGUUGUUUGGGAAUGCAGCCUAAAAUGGGAGGUAAAUCUCUCCUAAAGCUAAAUACUGGCGUAAGACCGAUAGCGAACAAGUACCGUGAGGGAAAGAUGAAAAGGACUUUGAAAAGAGGGUCAAAUAGUACGUGAAAUUGUUGAAAGGGAACCGUAUGAAAGUAGACUGGCUUGGUGAUGAUCAAUGUGUGUUUCGGCACGCAUGCACUCAUUGCCUUUGCCAGCCAGCGGCAGUUUUUGCUAAAGGAAGAAAAUCAGGGGAAUGUGGCUUCGAUUUCGGUUGAAGUGUUAUAGCUCCUGGUAAAAUACUUUGGCAGAGACUGAGGCUAGCAGUGGGUCUUUGGGAACUUUGCUCGCUUGUCGUCCAAUGAUCAAGUUUUCUUCGGAUGCUUGGUUAUUGGGUGGCAACUCGUGUGAUGCUUCACCCUCCCGCUUAGGUCGCUGGCGUAAUGCUUUUAUAUGACCCGUCUUGAAACACGG
rnacentral:rRNA from 1 species